UCUCUCUCUCUCUCUGACACACACACAGCUUUGGUUAACUGCAACAUCGACAGUAUUGCCUCACAUCAAAAUUGACAAAGCUUACUCUAACACAAGAUCCCGUGCGUGAGUUCAGCCUUUUCGUAAAACUCUCUCUGACUUUAGUUCAACCUAGAUGACCUUGUUUCAGCCCAACAUUCGCCUAACACAACUUUACUUACGUUACAGACAUUACAGACAGCCGUGCUUAAGUCCAACAACCACAUGACCCUGCCUUAAUUUAGUCCAGCAAAGGCAUAAUUCCUCCACUUAUACAAUUCAUAGGAUACAACUCCCAUUAUUCGGCAUCUUUGCAUUGUUACAUAAGUUCAACGCAGGCGGUUUUACCUCAAUCACUCCUAGGAUAGACCUCGCCCUCUUCACCUCCGUAACGCCACAGUUCUGCUCGCUCAUCAGUAUCAUAGAGUUUGCCAAAUGUUCUUCUGUUUGGCUUUUCAGUGUCUAACCGUCCACUAUUUUUUCCAUCCGUACUCUCCUCACUGUGUUAUCGGCAUUCCCAAGAUAACAGCAUGCAACUUUUCCUGCUUACUUAUCAUACUUCUCAGGAUGGACCUCUGUCUACCUUAUCAGACACUUGCGAUCACAUCAAGUACCAUGUGUGUUUUUGUUUUACAUUCUCACAGUGCUGUUCUUUUGUAUUACUAGCUAUCCCCCUUCUUAAAUGGCAGUUUCCUAGACGCGGAUUUAGCAUACUGACGGUCGUUCUCUGCAUAGAUGUAUUGUGAUGAUAAGUGGCCGUGAUGCGUCAUACCCACAUUGUCUUGAGAGAAUGGUGGGCGUGACAAGUGUGCUGAAGGAACAUUGUAACACCCAAGGCACGUACUACAUCCACAGACCAAAUUUGUCCUCCUCGGGCGUGUUAUUUCAUCUGAUGUUGUGAAAUGUACAAGUAUUAUAAGAAAAGGACUAAUUCCAAGCCAGUAGUCGUCGAGUCUAUAUUGUGGGAAAUAGUCGACAAGCCUGAAGUUAGACUCGAAAAGAUAAAGGGUCAUAUUCUUAAACAUUUCGCCCCCCAAGCAUAUACAUUUAACAAGGCUUUCGUUAGAGUUGUGGGCAUUUCCAUGAGUAGUUUUAUGGCCCUGGUGGUAGUUCGACCCUCUGUUGUACCGUGAACGUGAAAAGGACUCAUUGCAACUCGAUCUAUCUUCUUGUCUGCCUUGGAGUAGAGUUGAUGCGGGAGGCGGAAGCAUCUGAGAAUACCAACCUUUAAAGACUAACGCCUCGGAAGCUGCGUCAUCUGCUGCUGAACAGGACCCGUAUUCUCAAACCUUUCGUCGCCCAAGCACACACAUUUGACAAGGUUUUCGUAGGCGCUUUGGGGCAUUUCCAGUGGUAGUUUAAUGGCACUGGUGGUAGUCUGACCCUUCUCCUGUACCAUGAACACACUAAAAGCUCAUGAGGACCCGAUUGAUCUCCUUUUCGGCCUUUGGAAGUAGUUGAUGUGGGAGGUGGAAGCGUUUGAAGAUACCGACCCAGGAAACACUGCCGUCAUUGCCAUCGUCACUCUCGCACCCCCAACAAACCCGCAGCUCCGAGUGAGGGGUUCGGAGAGGGACGCAGCUUUGGCCAACGACUGAACCACACAAGCACCUCACCGACAGUCACUUCCAGGGAUCGAGUAUGGGGACGAGUGCUGUGCUGACGGCGGUGUGGCUGGCGUGGGGGUGUGGCCUUCAGGAUGUGGUCGCCGCCGGAUUCGAUGAACGCCCUCCACAGUACACCACCCACCACCACCACCCUGUGAGCUGCUGUGCCCGUGUUUCGCCAGAAGUCAGCACCAGCCUCCCUCAGCACCACAAAGCCGUAUCAGCCGUACCGUGCGCGCCCAACAGUCCAGCGGUAUGAAGAAGCGUGUUCACCAGGGUUGAGACUUGGCUGUCACUUACUCAAGAAGAGCCAGCGAGGAGAAGGCAAAGCUCCUGCAGCAGUCACGCGUCAGGGCACACGAGCUGGUGAUGGAGAUACAUUUGGUUUUCCAGCUUGUAACAGUCACGAAGUAUUGCUUCAAGCGACGGACUCCACUCAAGGCACAGGCAACAGUGGGGCUUCACCUCCCCCGAGGCUUGACAAGGAGAAUAUGACAGGGGAAAGGAAUCCAUAUCUUGAUGAACAUGAAACCAAGGCUUUUCAAAAUGGUGUCAGAAAUUUAUCUGAAACGGUAAUCGUAAACGACCAGUAUUCAACAAAUGAAACAGACAAACAAUUCAUGAAAUAUAAGGACAAAAUACAGUAUGAGAGUUUGUAUGAGAAUAACUAUUCAGCUGAAUCUGAUGGUACAGGGAAUACUACACACAUUGCCAAUAUUAAAAUUCCCUCAGCACCGAACGUCUUUACUGACAAUGUACAGGACGACAAUACUCUUGACGUUUAUGAAGAUGGCAAUGACUUUACGUCUUCCAAAUCGAAUGUGUUUUACCCUCCACCAAGAAGGCCGAGCCGCGCCAGACACCUUCGGGCUGUGGACGAGCCUUCCACUUCCCUGCGUGAUGGAUCUGAUCUGAGCUGGAAAAACCCUGCUGACGAGUACCACCCAGUCAAGUUGGACCUUGCUUCAGAGAGACAGGUUCACCCGCUGUUCUCCAGUUUCCAGUUUAAAAAAGGUGUCAUGUUUAGCAUUUUCAUUUGGGUUUAUCUCGUGGCCUUCGUGUACGCCAUGUGCUGCAUACUAUCCUCUAUCGUCACCCCGUUUUCUAUACUCGGUGUCAUCGUCAAGGUGUUGUUGGUUCACUACUUCCCGACCAUAGUACGGCUGGAGGUGUUUCGUGCCGUUGAUUAUAUCAUGACUUUCAUCUACAACACUUUUACCUGAGACUCUGUACACUGAUUAUCACUUAUGAAAAGUUUGCCUGAGAACAAAGUAUGCUUCCUUGGUUACACGUAUUGUGGUACUUUACAGAGAUUCUGAAUUUAGAAUUUAAAGAAUUGCUGUGAUAGGAAUUGUCAGAUUAACUGAGUAAUUACUUUCACAUGUUGAAUAAAGAGUUUGGCAUCA